GACGAACGCUGGCGGCGUGUUUAACACAUGCAAGUCGAACGGACAGGCCCUGCUUUUGUGGGGUGCUCGAGUGGCGAACGGGUGAGUAACACGUGAGUAACCUGCCCUUGACUUUGGGAUAACUUCAGGAAACUGGGGCUAAUACCGGAUAGGAGCUCCUGAUGCAUGGUGGGGGUUGGAAAGUUUCGGCGGUUGGGGCUGGACUCGCGGCUUAUCAGCUUGUUGGUGGGGUAGUGGCUUACCAAGGCUUUGACGGGUAGCCGGCCUGAGAGGGUGACCGGCCACAUUGGGACUGAGAUACGGCCCAGACUCCUACGGGAGGCAGCAGUGGAGAAUAUUGCACAAUGGGCGGAAGCCAGAGGCAGCAACGCCGCGUGCGGGAUGACGUCUUUCGGGUUGUAAACCGCUUUCGCCUGUGACGAAGCGUGAGUGACGGUAAUGGGUAAAGAAGCACCGGCUAACUACGUG
rnacentral:rRNA from 1 species